UACGGAGGGUGCAAGCGUUAUCCGGAUUUACUGGGUUUAAAGGGUGCGUAGGCGGCUUUUUAAGUCAGUGGUGAAAGCCUAGUGCUUAACACUAGAAUUGCCAUUGAAACUGAAAAGCUAGAAUCAAGGAGAGGUAAGCAGAAUUUAUAGUGUAGCAGUGAAAUGCUUAGAUACUAUAAGGAAUACCAACAGCGAAGGCAGCUUACUGGCCUUGUAUUGACGCUGAGGCACGAAAGCGUGGGGAGCAAACAGG
rnacentral:rRNA from 1 species